rnacentral:rRNA from 1 species
UACGGAGGGUGCAAGCGUUAUCCGGAUUCACUGGGUUUAAAGGGUGCGUAGGAGGGCAGGUAAGUCAGUGGUGAAAUCUCCAAGCUUAACUUGGAAACUGCCGUUGAUACUAUCUGUCUUGAAUAUUGUGGAGGUGAGCGGAAUAUGUCAUGUAGCGGUGAAAUGCUUAGAUAUGACAUAGAACACCAAUUGCGUAGGCAGCUUACUACACGGUUAUUGACGCUGAGGCACGAAAGCGUGGGGAGCAAACAGG